rnacentral:rRNA from 1 species
CAUUCCGAAAGGAAUGCUAAUACCGCAUACGCCCUACGGGGGAAAGCAGGGGACCUUCGGACCUUGCGCUAAUAGAUAAGCCUAAGUCAGAUUAGCUAGUUGGUGGGGUAAAGGCCUACCAAGGCGACGAUCUGUAGCGGGUCUGAGAGGAUGAUCCGCCACACUGGGACUGAGACACGGCCCAGACUCCUACGGGAGGCAGCAGUGGGGAAUAUUGGACAAUGGGCGCAAGCCUGAUCCAGCCAUGCCGCGUGUGUGAAGAAGGCCUUUUGGUUGUAAAGCACUUUAAGCGAGGAGGAGGCUACUUGGAUUAAUACUCUAGGAUAGUGGACGUUACUCGCAGAAUAAGCACCGGCUAACUCUGUGCCAGCAGCCGCGGUAAUACAGAGGGUGCGAGCGUUAAUCGGAUUUACUGGGCGUAAAGCGUGCGUAGGCGGCUUUUUAAGUCGGAUGUGAAAUCCCUGAGCUUAACUUAGGAAUUGCAUUCGAUACUGGGAAGCUAGAGUAUGGGAGAGGAUGGUAGAAUUCCAGGUGUAGCGGUGAAAUGCGUAGAGAUCUGGAGGAAUACCGAUGGCGAAGGCAGCCAUCUGGCCUAAUACUGACGCUGAGGUACGAAAGCAUGGGGAGCAAACAGGAUUAGAUACCCUGGUAGUCCAUGCCGUAAACGAUGUCUACUAGCCGUUGGGGCCUUUGAGGCUUUAGUGGCGCAGCUAACGCGAUAAGUAGACCGCCUGGGGAGUACGGUCGCAAGACUAAAACUCAAAUGAAUUGACGGGGGCCCGCACAAGCGGUGGAGCAUGUGGUUUAAUUCGAUGCAACGCGAAAAACCUUACCCACCUUUGACAUGUACGGAAGUUGCCAGAGAUGGCUUCGUGCUCGAAAGAGAACCGUAACACAGGUGCUGCAUGGCUGUCGUCAGCUCGUGUCGUGAGAUGUUGGGUUAAGUCCCGCAACGAGCGCAACCCUUGCCAUUAGUUGCUACGAAAGGGCACUCUAAUGGGACUGCCGGUGACAAACCGGAGGAAGGUGGGGAUGACGUCAAGUCCUCAUGGCCCUUAUAGGUGGGGCUACACACGUCAUACAAUGGCCGGUACAAAGGGCAGCCAACCCGCGAGGGGGAGCCAAUCCCAUAAAGCCGGUCGUAGUCCGGAUCGCAGUCUGCAACUCGACUGCGUGAAGUCGGAAUCGCUAGUAAUCGUGGAUCAGCAUGCCACGGUGAAUACGUUCCCGGGUCUUGUACACACCGCCCGUCACACCAUGGGAGCGGGUCUCGCC